AAAUUACAAAUUAAAGAGAAAGAGGGGAAGAGAGACUCUUUGUUUGUUUUCUUUUCUUUUGGAUUCUUCUUCCUUU
rnacentral:ribozyme from 14 species